rnacentral:rRNA from 1 species
CCUACGGGAGGCAGCAGUGGGGAAUAUUGGGCAAUGGGCGCAAGCCUGACCCAGCAACGCCGCGUGAAGGAAGAAGGCUUUCGGGUUGUAAACUUCUUUUGUCAGGGAAGAGUAGAAGACGGUACCUGACGAAUAAGCCACGGCUAACUACGUGCCAGCAGCCGCGGUAAUACGUAGGUGGCAAGCGUUUUCCGGAUUUACUGGGUGUAAAGGGCGUGUAGCCGGGUUGACAAGUUAGAUGUGAAAUCCUGCGGCUUAACCGGAGAACUGCCUUUGAAACUGUUGAGCUUGAGUACUGGAGAGGCAGACGGAAUUCGUAGUGUAGCGGUGAAAUGCGUAGAUAUUAGGAGGAACACCAGUGGCGAAGGCGGUCUGCUGGACAGCAACUGACGGUGAGGCGCGAAAGCGUGGGGAGCAAACAGGAUUAGAUACCCCAGUAGUC